GCUCAGAGAACAUUGGCAGAAUAAGGGGAAGAAGAAAAAGGAUCAGAGGCGCAGAAGGAAAAGCUUGGAAAUUUAAGAAUGUGCUGUUCUGUGACAGGCUUCAGACCACCACAUCUUUGUCUGUGUGCCAGAAUGAGCAAUGAGGUAAAUGUUGAGUGGAAGAAGAGAAUGCAGACAUGCAAGGGAUCCAUCCCAAACCACAAGCAGAAGAGGAACUGAAGAUGUGGCUAGUCUGUGUUGAUACUUAU